CCCAAUUCAAAAUUCUGGCGCUUGCUUACAAAUCCCUACAUAAUGCUGCUCCAACAUACCUAUCCUCCCUCAUACACAAGUAUGUCCCGUCGAGACCCCUGCGCUCAGCCCAAGACCUACUCCUAUCCUCUGCCCGGAUCCCCACCUCUGAUGCUCGCCUUCAAGACUUCUCCAGGGCUGCACCUAUUCUGUGGAACUCCCUUCCCUCCUCAAUCAGACUUUCACCCAGCCUCCAU